GACGAACGCUGGCGGCGUGCUUAACACAUGCAAGUCGAACGCUGAAGCACCAGCUUGCUGGUGUGGAUGAGUGGCGAACGGGUGAGUAAUACGUGAGUAACCUGCCCUUGACUCUGGGAUAAGCCCGGGAAACUGGGUCUAAUACUGGAUGCUACAUUUCACCGCAUGGUGGUGUGUGGAAAGGGUUUACUGGUCUUGGAUGGGCUCACGGCCUAUCAGCUUGUUGGUGAGGUAAUGGCUCACCAAGGCGACGACGGGUAGCCGGCCUGAGAGGGUGACCGGCCACACUGGGACUGAGACACGGCCCAGACUCCUACGGGAGGCAGCAGUGGGGAAUAUUGCACAAUGGGCGAAAGCCUGAUGCAGCGACGCCGCGUGAGGGAUGACGGCCUUCGGGUUGUAAACCUCUUUCAGCAGGGAAGAAGCCGCAAGUGACGGUACCUGCAGAAGAAGCGCCGGCUAACUACGUGCCAGCCGCCGCCGUAA
rnacentral:rRNA from 1 species